AACGAACGCUGGCGGCGUGCCUAACACAUUCAAGUCGAACGUGAAAGUCCUUCGGGAUGAGUAAAGUGGCGCACGGGUGAGUAACACGUAGGUGACCUGCCGUUUAGAGGGGGAUAACCAGAAGAAAUUUUGGCUAAUACCGCAUAUGAUCGCAAAUUUAAAAGUAGCGGAUGAAAGAGUGCCUCUGUAUAUGCACUUACUAAACGAUGGGCCUGCGGUACAUUAGCUAGUUGGUGGGGUAAUGGCCUACCAAGGGGACGAUGUAUAUCCGGUCAGAGAGGAUGAUCGGACACACUGGAACUGAGACACGGUCCAGACUCCUACGGGAGGCAGCAGUGGGGAAUAUUGCGCAAUGGGGGAAACCCUGACGCAGCAACGCCGCGUGAGUGAGGAAGGACUUCGGUCUGUAAAGCUCUGUUAAUGUAGAAAAAUGGUAGUUGGUCUAAUAGGCCAAUUGCUUGAUGGUAUACAUAGAGGAAGCACCGGCUAACUUCGUGCCAGCCGCCGCCGUAAGAC
rnacentral:rRNA from 1 species